GUGAGGAAUAUUGCGCAAUGGAGGCAACUCUGACGCAGCCAUGCCGCGUGCAGGAAGAAGGCGCUACGCGUUGUAAACUGCUUUUAACCGGGAAGAAACCCCAGGACGUGUCCUGGGUUGACGGUACCGGAGGAAUAAGCACCGGCUAACCUCGUGCCAGCAGCCGCGGUAAUACGAAGGGUGCAAGCGUUAUCCGGAUUCAUUGGGAUUAAAGGGUGCGUAGGCGGAGCGUUAAGUCAGUGGUGAAAUCCUGCAGCUUAACUGUAGACUUGCCAUUGAUACUGGAGCUCUUGAGUGCGCUUGAAGUGGGCGGAAUGUGCCGUGUAGCGGUGAAAUGCUUAGAUAUGGCACAGAACACCAAUUGCGAAGGCAGCUCACUAAGGCGAUACUGACGCUGAGGCACGAAAGCGUGGGGAUCGAACAGGAUUAGAAACCCGAGUAGUCC
rnacentral:rRNA from 1 species